UGGAAAGCAAGAAGGGAACCCAAACCUAACCAAACGAAGCCAAAUCCCUCAAAAUAUGUGAAAUGUAUAAAACAAAAAUGAUGAGUGUUUCUGAUAUGAGAUACUGAAUGAAGAGAAGUUCUCUCCUGGGUAUCACACUGGAUAGCCCUUUUCACCUACCUGCUGCUGCAGAAUUUGAUGACAGAGGGAGAUACAAAAAGGAGAAGUGAAGCCUCAGAAUGUUGAACAGUCUCCCUUAUGCCUUUGGGAAACUGCUUCUAUCUGAGAAGGAGGAGUUUAGCAAGUAGUAGGUGGUACCCUGUGUGGCAGAGUCGGAUGUGUUACACCACGAGGGCAUUCAUCUUUUCAAUUGGUGAAGUCCUUCUACCUAGUUCCAGUUCCUUGUACACAGAAGAGGACUGACUGGAAAACUCUCCUCACAGGACUGCAUACUGUUAUCUCUGAGAAAAAUGAGACAGUCAUCAUCUUCAAGAUGAAGAGCUACAAAGUUUGGCCUUUCCUCUCAAAAUGAAGAAAGCUACAUUCAUGUAUACGUAUCUGGACUUCAUUAAUUUGUUUCUAUUUCCAUUUUGUUACCUCUCUGAGACAAAAUAAGUAUGAAG